GGUGCAUGAUUCAAGGCCAUAGCAGAAGCCUUCACUGUGCAGCCCUGUCAGAUUCUGACAAAUCUGUGAAUUCAGCU
rnacentral:ribozyme from 1 species